UAUCAAUAUUUCCUAUUAAUCGAUCCAAAAUGGAAAAAAGCAUGAAAGCUUAUUUUGUUAUUCUUUUUGUGGUCAUCCUAGUAUUUCAUCCAGGUAUGGUGGUGACAGCUAAAAAAGAGACAACGAAACUAUGUGACAAGAGAAGCAAGACAUGGUCCGGGUUCUGUGAGAUCUCCAAGAAUUGUGAUAAACAAUGUCGAGACUGGGAGGGGGCAGCUCACGGAGCUUGUCAUCGUCAGGGAUUGGGAAUGGCCUGCUUUUGCUACUUCAAUUGUUAGAAUGCUACAGGGCCAAUCAAGAUGAUGCAUCAUGAGUUUUAUAUGUCUACCUGUAACUUGUAUACCUCUCUCUCUAUAUAAACAUAAGUCAUAGAUUUCAAUAAUGUGGUUAUAAUGAAUAAAAAUAAGUGAUGGAUUUGAUGAAUGUGGUGAUAAUGAGUAAAAGUGUUUAUAAUAUAUAAAGUAUCCUUGUUUAAGAUUG